rnacentral:rRNA from 1 species
UCGUCACACUAUCAUUAACUGAAUCCAUAGGUUAAUGAGGCGAACCGGGGGAACUGAAACAUCUAAGUACCCCGAGGAAAAGAAAUCAACCGAGAUUCCCCCAGUAGCGGCGAGCGAACGGGGAGGAGCCCAGAGCCUGAAUCAGCAUGUGUGUUAGUGGAAGCGUCUGGAAAGGCGCGCGAUACAGGGUGACAGCCCCGUACACAAAAGCGCAUGUGCUGUGAGCUCGAUGAGUAGGGCGGGACACGUGGUAUCCUGUCUGAAUAUGGGGGGACCAUCCUCCAAGGCUAAAUACUCCUGACUGACCGAUAGUGAACCAGUACCGUGAGGGAAAGGCGAAAAGAACCCCGGCGAGGGGAGUGAAAAAGAACCUGAAACCGUGUACGUACAAGCAGUGGGAGCA